rnacentral:misc_RNA from 1 species
CUCUAUCCCCAACCCUACUCCCCAAAAAAGUCUGUUUGACACCUUACCCUUUUUUAGUUAUUCAAGAAUUCAUUAUCUUUUUUCAUUCAUCCGACGCUUUUACAAACUAUAAUUUCUUUUCUUAUUAUAUACAAGUCUUGUGGGAUAUAUCAUACACGUACAAAUGAGAAAGAAAUAUAGAUUUGAAUUAUUUAGAAUCUAUAUCAUUUUUCAUUUACUACUUUUGCGUUUCUUUUAAUUGACAUAGACCUAAGUCAUCUAGUAAAAUGAGGAUGAUACUUCGGUAAUGGCCGGGAUAGCUCAGUUGGUAGAGCAGAGGACUGAAAAUCCUCGUGUCAC